rnacentral:rRNA from 1 species
UACGGGGGGGGUAAGCGUUGUUCGGAAUUACUGGGCGUAAAGGGCUCGUAGGCGGCCAACUAAGUCGGACGUGAAAUCCCUCAGCUUAACUGGGGAACUGCGUCCGAUACUGGAUGGCUUGGAUUUGGGAGAGGGAUGCGGAAUUCCGGGUGUAGCGGUGAAAUGCGUAGAUAUCGGGAGGAACACCAGUGGCGAAGGCGGCUACCUGGCCCAUUCUUGACGCUGAGGCGCGAAAGCUAGGGGAGCAAACGGG